GAUGAACGCUGGCGGCGUGCCUAAUACAUGCAAGUCGAGCGAACAGACGAGGAGCUUGCUCCUCUGACGUUAGCGGCGGACGGGUGAGUAACACGUGGAUAACCUACCUAUAAGACUGGGAUAACUUCGGGAAACCGGAGCUAAUACCGGAUAAUAUAUUGAACCGCAUGGUUCAAUAGUGAAAGACGGUUUUACUGUCACUUAUAGAUGGAUCCGCGCCGCAUUAGCUAGUUGGUAAGGUAACGGCUUACCAAGGCAACGAUGCGUAGCCGACCUGAGAGGGUGAUCGGCCACACUGGAACUGAGACACGGUCCAGACUCCUACGGGAGGCAGCAGUAGGGAAUCUUCCGCAAUAGGCGAAAGCCUGACGGAGCAACGCCGCGUGAGUGAUGAAGGUCUUCGGAUCGUAAAACUCUGUUAUUAGGGAAGAACAAAUGUGUAAGUAACUAUGCACGUCUUGACGGUACCUAAUCAGAAAGCCACGGCUAACUACGUG
rnacentral:rRNA from 1 species